GUAGGGAAUAUUGCACAAUGGAGGAAACUCUGAUGCAGCGACGCCGCGUGAGUGAUGAAGGCCUUCGGGUCGUAAAGCUCUGUCGCAGGGGAAUAACACAAUGAAGGUACCCUGUAAGAAAGGAUCGGCUAACUUCGUGCCAGCAGCCGCGGUAAGACGAGGGAUCCUAGCGUUGUUCGGAAUCAUUGGGCGUAAAGCGGAUGUAGGUGGCUAUGUAAGUCAGAUGUGAAAGCCUGGGGCUCAACCCCAGAAGUGCAUUUGAUACUGCGUAGCUUGAGUGUCGGAGAGGUUACUAGAAUUGCUGGUGUAGUGGUGAAAUACGUAGAUAUCAACAGGAAUACCGGAGGCGAAGGCGGGUAACUGGCCGAACACUGACACUGAGAUCCGAAAGCGUGGGGAUCAAACAGGAUUAGAAACCCGUGUAGUCC
rnacentral:rRNA from 1 species